rnacentral:ncRNA from 1 species
AGAAAGGCAUGGCCGGGUUAAGUAGAAAUAUUUAACUUUGUUUUCACUAUAUGCUGGAAUCCCUUUAGAGCCUUUAGAACUAGUACCGCGGACUACAUAAUAGCAGUGGAAUACAGUUACAUUUUAAAGGAUUAGGUAAUCAGCAGGAAACCAAAAAUAAGAAACAUUAUUCUUAUCUAGUAGGUUCCUCAGAGACUACACGUGAAAUAUCUUAGCAAGUAAUCAAUAAUAAGCAUUUACUUAAAGAUAAAGAUAUAGUCCGUUCAUCUUCGAAAGAUUAUG